UACUGACCACUGUCGGAAAACUGGA
rnacentral:piRNA from 1 species